rnacentral:lncRNA from 1 species
CCUUGCUCACUGAGUUCACCAGGACAAAAGAUCUCUAUUGCUGUCUGAAAAAACAGUAUAAAAUAUUUUUAUUAGUAUAAAAGGAAUUUAUAAGUCUUAAUUUUAAAAAUAAAAUGUGUUUGGAUUUAAUCAGAAGUAUAUGCUCAUUAAAACCUUAAGUGGUCUAUGUUGUGUUGCAACUUGUACUUUAAACAAGCUUAAAGCAUUUAACAAGGGGACCCUGUACUGCUAAAUAUACUACAUGCGAGCCAUGUCAACCAACCAGAUAUAAAGGCGUGGCAAGAGAAUGAAGUGGGUGGUUAUCCCAGGAGCA